GUGGGGAGGCCCUGGCACAGGUUGCCCAGAGAAGCUGUGGCUGCCCCUGGAUCCCUGGAAGUGUCCAAGGAGCAGGGUCAGGAUCAGGGUUACAGCAGGAAGGGGAUCUGUGCUACAGCUCUGGAGAUCUCAGUUCUCUCAUCAGCGGGGGGAAGUUUGCAUGGUGUGGAGGUCUGGAAGAUUCCCAGGACUGAGGCCAAGCCCCUUGUUAUCCAACAAAAUGGGGUGGGAAUGUGCAGCAACACAAGCCAUGGGUGGUGUGUCUUGGGAACACUUUACCUGGGCACAACAGCUUUCCCUGUGAGUCCUUCUGCAGCCACCAAUCCAUUCUGGAUUUUGGGCUCACCCUGCUUCUUCCCUGCCUCCCAUAACCGGUGAUGAAUUGUUUCUGUCCUGCCAGUUCCCAGAGUAUUUGGGAAUAAAAGAGGGCAGUGCUGGAUCAGGGCCAUUCCCUCAUCUCCAACAGCAGCGACAGUAACAGCUCUUGAGAGACAAAGAGCCCACUUAGGCUGUGCUGGAUGGCUUUUCCAACAUUCCCUGCAGUGGAUUUUAUGGCAACAACAACUACUGGAAAGACAAGGCUGAGGCUGUGAAGAGGGAGGAGUGGGGUGGGAGCCAGGCUGAGCUCACCACUGUGCAGGACUGAUAAGCUGGAGCUGAGCACAGAACUCCAGCUCAGCUCCACUCCCCCAUGUCAGAGACACCCCCCUGGUGAAGUCACGAGGUAUUUUUGUCCCCUGAGGUGCCCCAAGGCCCAGCCUGGGUGUUUUCCUUUCAGACAGAUGAAUAUCCCCCGCAAUUUUACCCUUGUCAUCCAAGGCGCUGGAGACACAGAGCUCUUCCAGUUUCCUCACCCCCCUUUGCGUGGCCUUCAGCCCAAAUUCCUUAGGACUAAGCCAUGGCCACGCUGGUUUCCCAUGUGAAGGACUUACAUUUCUGUAGCCACACCACAUUUUAAUUUGCUUUCUCAGCAAAAUUCUUUAUAUGUCACAGGGAGUGGGAUUGGGCUCACGGAGUGUCCCUGCACCUAAACAGGACACCCAGGGCUGCUUUGAGCCCCUGCCUGUGUUUAAUCAGAGGGAUCCCAUCCUGGGCUGCUCCUACUGUAGAUCCAGACAACUAGUCCAGGCAUCAAUGCAGACAUUUGGAUUUAGGAAAGACCAAUCCUGUGAGUCUCAGUUUUAUGACUCUGACGUGGAGAAGGAAAGCUGCAGGUCAGAGGUGUUAAUUGUCACCUUGCACUGAUGAAACGGGGGCAGGGAGGGAAGCAACAGGAAUAACAGGUUUAAAAUAUGUCAGAUGGGAAUUAAAGGGUGAAAGGAGUGGGAUGUGUUACCCUAAAGAGCCGAAAGGAGGGAAUUUGAAGGGACAGGACAUGACAAUCCUCACUUCAUGGAAGAUCAGGGUAAAGACAGCGACGAGCUGUGGGUUUGGGUGAGCUCAGGACCAGCAGAGCUCUGCCAUGUGCAGGCAUGGGAAUAGUCCUGGAGCUCCCUGGGAAUGCCAGGGGACACUGAGAGGUCACCACUCUGAAAUCCCACAGCCCAAUAAAUCCUCUUUGAUCUCCCCUGAGGAAGUUUUGCAGCGCCAGGUUGGGAAGAAGAACUUUGAAGACCUGCCAAAACAUUCCAAGAGCCCCCAGAUGUGGUUCUAGGUGAGAAAAGCAAGACUGUAGGAGCACUUGGCCAAUCCUUGCAAUUCCAGCUAUGAAAAAUAUUCCAACAUCCAGCAGUAAAUGCAGUGCCAGUUUCAGCCAGAAGUGCUGACACUAAGCCAGGCUUUUGCAUCAAGAGGAUUUCACACUUAGUUUACUUCAGCUUAGUCGUGAAUAUAUCAGCCCUUAACAGUGAAUUAAAAAAUUCCCUUUGAUUGUUUCUCCUCAAGUCACGUAGCAAUAACCUAUGUGGAACACUUCAGACUUUAAGGCUUUUAUUUUAAAAUAAUUAAAUAUUUUUUUAAGCAAAAUUAUGUGCAGCCUAAAGCAAAAAAAAAAAAAAUCAAGGGAAAAAGGAAUUUUCUUCCCAGGAUUCUCUUGUGGUCUGAGGUUGUCGGGGUGGGAAGGCCCUGUAAGAUUCCUCCAAGGAGACUCCUGAAUUCUCUGAGUAUCUCCAGAAAAUUACUGGAUAAUUAUAUAGUAAAUGUCAUAUUUACUAAUAUAUAGUAAUGUAAUAUAUAUAUUAAAUAUAUAGUGCAAAACACACAAGGAUGUAACAAAACCAUCCCAGAGCCUGGAAUAGAAGACAUUGGUACUUGCACAGCAACUGUUCCUGUAAGUCCUCAUAUUUCACUCCUUUUGAUCCUUUGUGUGACAAUUACAAGAGCAAAACACAGGAAAAAAACACCCAACUUGUGCCUUUUUAAAAAAUAUACAGAAAUCUUGGAAGAGAGAGGAUUA